CUGAGUUUAUUUUUAGUUUUGUGCUUCCUUGUUGUUACACAGAGCAUGCACUUAUUGGGUAGUGGUUGGAUUUCUGGGCACCAUAUGUAUUUCCAUAUACACACACAGAGCUUUUUCUAAGGGGCAGCUAGAAGAAUGCUCAAACACAAAGGAGAAAGCAAGGUCUGAUAAAGGAGUAAGGGAAGAUAAGAGGAUUCAUUUAAUGUGGUGGAGCUGAGCUAAAACCUGGAUCAGAUUCAUUUAAUGUGAUGGAGCUGAGCUAAAACCUGGAUCAAGCCUUGAAAUGAUACCAAGAAGUUGGUGUGAGCCUGGCAGAAAUCGCCCAAACAAGACUGCUGAAUGAUAAGUGAUUCAUGAUUAUCAUUCCUCUUCUUUUUCAUAUUGUCUAUAUAUGCUGAAGCAACAGAAGACCCAAGAACGUGAACAAAUAUUUGCAUGAAAAGAAGCAGAUGAAUUGCCUCUGUCCAGAUACUUAUUUUGCUACCUAUCAUGGCUGUUAAACAGAUUGCCCUAUUUUGGUCACUGGGACCCAGUGUAACAUUUUAGAAGGAGCAGAAGCUGCAUCAGAAACCCAGCUUCUAAUCCAAGCACUUCAGCUGCAUGCCUGGGGAUGUGGAACAUGAAUCCAAUGAGUGAACGUGCCACUUAGCCUCUGUUAUCCAGUUUAAUCCUAGGGAGUGUUUCAAUCUCUCCUCUUUGUCUCGUCUACCCUAUAUGACUUACUGUGCAACUUCAUCUGGAGAAAAAAUGAUAGUCAAGUAUGUUAUAAAUACCUUGAAAUGAAUGGAAU